GACGAACGCUGGCGGCGUGCUUAACACAUGCAAGUCGAACGGAAAGGCCCUGCUUUUGUGGGGUGCUCGAGUGGCGAACGGGUGAGUAACACGUGAGUAACCUGCCCUUGACUUUGGGAUAACUUCAGGAAACUGGGGCUAAUACCGGAUAGGAGCUCCUGCUGCAUGGUGGGGGUUGGAAAGUUUCGGCGGUUGGGGAUGGACUCGCGGCUUAUCAGCUUGUUGGUGGGGUAGUGGCUUACCAAGGCUUUGACGGGUAGCCGGCCUGAGAGGGUGACCGGCCACAUUGGGACUGAGAUACGGCCCAGACUCCUACGGGAGGCAGCAGUGGGGAAUAUUGCACAAUGGGCGGAAGCCUGAUGUAGCAACGCCGCGUGCGGGAUGACGGCCUUCGGGUUGUAAACCGCUUUCGCCUGUGACGAAGCGUGAGUGGCGGUAAUGGGUAAAGAAGCACCGGCUAACUACGUG
rnacentral:rRNA from 1 species